GACUACCAGGGUAUCUAAUCCUGUUCGCUCCCCACGCUUUCGUGCAUCAGCGUCAGUAAUGGCCCAGCAAGCUGCCUUCGCAAUCGGUGUUCUGUGUAAUAUCUAAGCAUUUCACCGCUACAUUACACAUUCCGCCUGCCUUGACCAUACUCAAGAUAAACAGUAUCAACGGCAAGUCUACAGUUAAGCUGCAGCCUUUCACCACUGACUUAUUCAUCCGCCUACGCACCCUUUAAACCCAAUAAAUCCGGAUAACGCUUGCAUCCUCCGUAUUACCGCGGCUGCUGGCACGGAGUUAGCCGAUGCUUAUUCCCAGUGUACCGUCAAUCUCGUACACGUACGAGUGUUUCGCCCACUGGAAAAGCAGUUUACAACCCAUAGGGCUGUCUUCCUGCACGCGGGAUGGCUGGUUCAGGCUUCCGCCCAUUGACCAAUAUUCCUCACUGCAGCCCCCCGUAGG
rnacentral:rRNA from 1 species